GGUAGCUCAGUUGGCUAGGGCAUGGUGCUGAUAACACCAAGGUUGCAGGUUUGAUCCCCGUAUGGGACA